UAGUCUUAAGAAGAUUUUCAAUAAUUAUUGCUGUUUAUGAAAAGCAAAAGACUAAAGUUUGCAUCUAAAAUAUUAAAUACUUUUGAGGAUAUCUGGACUUAAUAGAUUAUUCCAACGGAUCUGUUUCAAGUUUUAGAAGACUAACUAAUUGAAUUGCAGAAAAAUGCUUUUGAAUGGUGCUUACCAAUGAUUCCGCACUCAGAGAAUGCUAUUCAAGUGACUCAGCACGUCGCAAACUUCUUGGUCAGCGAGGCAAGGAAGUCAUUAAACAGACCGCCUGUUGGGCAAGUCCUUGACAAUCUCAUCUACAAUUACAGUCCGACUUUCUGUGGGAAGGUUGGGAAGGGAUACGACGAAGUUUACAUCUUUACACAACCUUCACUCGCUCAUUCGUAAAUCAAACGUGCAAUCGAACGUGUAAUGGACAAUGGAAAUGGAAAUAACUGAAGACUUUGAGAACUGUAAACAUUGUAAUUACAGGACAUUAGCACUCUCAUGAGUCUAAAACCUUUUUUGUGAUAUUCAUGCCAUCAGAUUAUUUAGUGAAAAUAUGACUUUAGCCCUUCAAACUCAAUUUUCUUCAUAUUAAACCCUAGAUAAUCUUUUUAUUCAAAGAAAACCCAAUGACUAGGAUCCACAUAAGCAAAUUCAUUAACUUCAUAUUAAUUCACACAUUUUACAUUUUUCACAUGCCUAAAAUACCCCUAUUACAUACUUGAUGUAGACAAUUAAUUG